ensembl:lncRNA
GGGCGAGGAGAGGGAGGGACGCCAGCCCGCCCAGGGGCUAAGCGGUACAGUGAAUGCACUCACGUAUCGCUUCAACUUCUUCUCCGGCGGGGACUUUCGGAGCCAGCCCGAGCAAACCACCUCCCCGCCGCUCAUGGUUGCGCCGCCUUCCCGCUGGGGGGAUUCCUCUGUCCGUAGCAGCGGCGCGGCCGGGCCGGGCCGAGAGAACCCCGGAGACACAGCAGCAGCCGCACCGCGCCCGCUCCGGCCUCCUCCGGCUCUGGGGAGAGGGGAGGAGGUGGCCGGAGGGAGGGAGGGAACGAAGGAGGGGGGUGUCUCCCACACAAACAGCCCGAGCCAGGGGAGCGGAGACAGCAGAGUGGGAAGCGGGACGGAGGGGGCGGCUCUCCCCCUCCGGCCACCGAGUCACACAAACAGCAGGCAGGGGAGCAGCGGCCGCCGCCCCGCCUGGGCCACCGCAACUUCAACGCCCGUGUCCCGGAGAACAACCCCGCCGCAGCGCUGCCAGGCUCGCUCCUACGGGCUGCCGCAAGAGCCGCCUCGCGCGGCGGGGACUGUCUGCAGCGUCCGCGCGAGGACGGACCGCGGGGGCUUCCCUUGCUGCCCUCCCUCUGCUGAGCUGCCUGGCAAAUCUCAGCGCCGCUGCCUAGCGCGGCUCCUUCCUCCUCCCCAGCUGCUGCUGCGCUGGGAGGGGGCGAGAAUAGCCCAGGCAGCGCUCGUGUCCCUGGCUUCCCCCUCCCGCCUGGGCUGGAACGUGGAGCCCGGCAAAGUUCCACCCCGGCAGCGCUGGGACUUGAGAGGGGCGGGACGGCUGGAAUCCUGCUCCCAGCACAGUUCGACCGAGCGAACGCAGAGAUUUGAAGGGGAGGGGGAACCCCAGCCUCAGCGACUACUGGGCACGGACAGGAGGGGUCCCUCCCUCUUAACUCGGGGGGAGGGAUCUGCCCUGGUAUUCAAGUGCCCUGCCUCUCCAGCACCGUCUUCUACCGUCUAUCGGCCUUUGCUGCUGUCAGUUGAACACGGUUUCCCCACCCCUUACUCUUUCCCUUCCUCCCCACCGGUGGCCUCUGCGGCUCGCCUCGCCUCGCCCUCCCCGUCCGCAGUGGAGGAGCUGAGACUUUCUGCGAAACUCAGCCAGAGCCUUUUCCAACAACAAGGGCAGGGAGGAGGAAGGAAGGUUGUGUUGGGCUUUGGAGAGGGAUCCUGGGAUCUGUAGUUCGGAGGAUGGUACAGCCUAUGUCCGCUUUACGCGCAGCCUGGUAAAGGGAACUACAGGGGUGGAUGCAUAGCUGCAAAAGGAGGUGAAGUUGGAGGAGGCCGGAGGGAGAAACUAGAGAGAGUGAGAAACUUUCUUCUUGGAAAAGUCUCCUGCGUGAACGUUGUCCAUUUAAAGCAAAGCCCAACAAGUUUUCUGGAAAGUGUGUGUUGUUGUGGGGGUUUGUGGUUGGUUGUUUUUUUACAAACGUGGAUUUUAGAAGUUUGAUUUUGCAGACGCAGAACAGUAGCUGGAAGUUCAAGGAAAUAGAGUUGUCUUUUGCUUUGGAGGGGACAUCUUUCCUUUCAAUACUAAGUGCAGGCUUGUCAAGUUAUG